GGGCCCGUAGCUCAGUGGUUAGAGCACUCGGCUCAUAACCGAUUUGUCGGAGGUUCAAAUCCUCCCGGGCCCA
rnacentral:tRNA from 1 species